AAAAAAAAACCCUAACUGUAAAUAUUAUUUGGAGAUACGUGAUCAUUUAACACACGGGUGUUAAGUUCAUUCUUGCUGCAAAAGAAGGCCAUUGUACCUCCUGACCCUGAAAGCAAGAUGAAGUCACUGAGACACCAAAGGUUAAUUGCUUGCCCAAAGCCAUGUAGCAACUUGGUUGAAGUUACUUUAGUGUCGAAAGCUCCACAUAUGUGCU
rnacentral:lncRNA from 1 species